CUAGAGCAAGAGCAGGCAGAACCAUCAACUCAAAGUGGUGUGCAAGCUAGCGUCAUGUCAGGUUAAUCCAAGCUCAUUCCGUUGGUAUGCCCCAUGGAUGGAUUUACUUACUUUGUUGUGUACUAGAGGUGCUCAAUGAACAAACUUCAGUGGGAUAGAAACACGGGUUUGUUGUAUUUCACAAAACUGAAACAUGAUACAUCUAUUUGUAUCGAUUUCUCCGACAAGUUCCGGGCGGAGGGAGUACUAUUCAUUUAAGAUAAACUUACCUAUUUUUAGAAAACUCAACUUUAUUGUGAGGUUUGAUAAUUCUUCUAUCCGGGGUUGGACUUAUAGUCGGUUGUCCAUACAGUACAUUACUUGUCGAAUAUUAUAUGGUUUCAGUUCUCGCAAACUACUCAAUAGUUUGCAGAUGAUUGAUGUAAUGCUAUUUUUAUGAUUUUUACACAUUAUCAGUUAUGUAUCAAAAGCUGAAGUGCCCCUUGAUCAAUGUAACCUGAAGAAGAUUUGUAUGAGUUGUAUGUAAUAGUAAUAUAGAAAUUAUGACUGAUGGAGAAAAAAAGGUGGUUGUAAUUGUAAAGAAGAGAAAAUGACUGUUGUAGAAUCUAGCAUGUCUACUAAUAAGCACAUGGCGAUGGAGAUAACUUUCUCAUUCACAACUUUCUUAUUUGCAAUGGCAGUGUCCACUGUUUUCUUCAUAAAAGUUUAUUAUUUGGUCUAUCAGUCGUAUGGUUUGAUAUUUGCUUUUUACAUAGAUGAAUACUUUUUUUGCCAACUGUAUCUAGAUGAAUACUUACAACACUGCUUAUUGUGAAAACUUGUUGUAUGUGUGAAUUUAUUUAUACUCUUGGUCCUGGCACACGGAGCCCAUAAGACGUUGAGUGUCCCGGUUGCUGUUGUACGUAUUUCAUUUGAUUAUGUUUCACGUGUGGAGUUCAUGAUCAAUUCAUCAUGAGCAUCAAUUAUCUUUACUGUUGAAUUUCUCUAUUUUUUUUUGUUAUAUGUUGAUGGUAG
rnacentral:lncRNA from 1 species